CAGAUUUGUCUUCUAGGUCGGUGGAAAACGAAUGCAUUUCAAAAGUAUAUUCGAGUUUCAUCUCUUUCAACGACUGCUUCAUUAUCUGAGUAACACAAUCCUUCCAAACCGGGCGACAAUGUUGCGGGGUGUUGUCGCUUGGUCCGUUGCAUCGUAUAUUUGGUGGUCCAGAGGGCCUGCCUAGCAGGGGCGGACAUCUCUUCUUGAUCACCAGAUAUAUUAAUGUUCAUUAGUAAUUAUUCACUUAAACUGUUAUUUCUGACUAUUUUAUUCCUUUCUGUGUGUUAACAACAGUUAGCAGGGGCGACUGUUAAAUGUUUAGUGGUUGUGUUAACAACAGUCAGCAGGGGCGACUGUUAGAUGUUUAGUAUUGAAGGGCUCUAUUUACAACAUUAUGCUACUACUCAUAGUGGUUUCGCAGAGGCGACUGCUUUCGAUCGGCCUACACUACAGUUAACAGGGGUUACUGCGGUGUACUUUGACUCGCUAUAAAACAUUAUUAAAAUUAAAUGUUCUUUGCUAGUGGUGUUGCGUUUUCCUCGGGUGGGGAGACUCCGCGAUUUACGUUCGACUGACUUCAAUUGCGUAGUCUUUGGCGUGUAGUCCUGCCACCUUUACUGGCAAUGAACAUUAACAGACUCAAGUUAUUAACUCAAAUUAUCAAUUUUAAUGAUUUUAUGAUAUUUCUAAUUAAAUGACGAGAUUUUAAAUAAAGCGGCUG